rnacentral:rRNA from 1 species
CAGUAGCCGCGGGAAAACCAGCAGCCCAAGUGGUGGUCGCGUUUAUUGGGCCUAAAGCGCUCGUAGCCUGACCGGUAAGUUCCCCGUGAAAUCGGGUCGCCCAACGAUUCGGCUUGCGGGGAAUACUGUCGGUCUUGGGGCCGGGAGACGCCGAGGGUACUCCGGGGGUAGCGGUGAAAUGCUGUAAUCCUCGGGGGACUACCAGUGGCGAAGGCGCUCGGCGAUAACGGGCCUGACGGUGAGGGGCGAAAGCUGGGGGCGCGAACGGGAUUAGAUACCCGAGUAGUCCCUGUCUCUUAUA